rnacentral:rRNA from 1 species
GACGAACGCUGGCGGCGUGCUUAACACAUGCAAGUCGAACGGUAAGGCCCUUCGGGGUACACGAGUGGCGAACGGGUGAGUAACACGUGGGUGAUCUGCCCUGCACUUCGGGAUAAGCCUGGGAAACUGGGUCUAAUGCCGGAUAGGACCACUGCCUGCAUGGGGGGUGGUGGAAAGCUUUUGCGGUGUGGGAUGGGCCCGCGGCCUAUCAGCUUGUUGGUGGGGUGAUGGCCUACCAAGGCGACGACGGGUAGCCGGCCUGAGAGGGUGACCAGCCACACUGGGACUGAGAUACGGCCCAGACUCCUACGGGAGGCAGCAGUGGGGAAUAUUGCACAAUGGGCGCAAGCCUGAUGCAGCGACGCCGCGUGAGGGAUGACGGCCUUCGGGUUGUAAACCUCUUUCAGCACCGACGAAGCGCAAGUGACGGUAGGUGCAGAAGAAGGACCGGCCAACUACGUGCCAGCAGCCGCCGUAA